rnacentral:lncRNA from 1 species
AUCUUGAUAUGUGGGUUAAAAACUUUUGUAGUAUCACUUGUUAUGAUUACUUUGCACUAAGUUGAAAUGUGCUAUAUCUAAGAACAUUGUAGAAAUGAUAGAUAUUGAAACUAAUAUUUAGUUUCUAAUUACCAGGUUUCAUAAAAUUGAGAAUGGAUUCAAUGGAAAUGAGGAAUGUGUCAAAGAUACAACAACCCGACCAUAGAAAAAAACAACAGCAGAAGGUCACCAACAGGUCUUCAAUGUAGCAAGAAAUUCCAGCACCCGAAAGGCAUCCUUCAGCUGGCCCCUAAACAAAUAUAUACUAGUUCAGUGAUAAUGAACUCCAUACUAAUUUCCAAAUUGUACACAAGAAACUAAAAUUAAAAUAAUACAAGACUAACAAAGGCCAGAGGCUGCUGACUUGGGACAGGCGCAAACAUGUGGUGGGGUUAAACAUUUUUAUGAGAUCUCAACCCUUUCCUAUACCUCUAGCCAAUAUAGAAAAGUAAACGCAUAAUAAUACGCACAUUAAAAUUCAUGUAUAUAUCACUGAGUAUCCCACAACGUAAGAUGUUGCUCACAGUAUAAUGCUGAUUGCAGUCAGUGUACCAAAAUUCUGAGCACUUAAAGCAAGUGACAAAGGAAUGCAACUGGAAAAUUUGAAGAAAAAAAAAAGUACUAUAACUGCAGAUUUUUUUUAAUGUAACUGUUCUAUCUUUGUUCCUGUCAUCAUAAUCCAUGUGUAGACACAAUUGUGUGUUUAACAUUUUUUUUUGUCUUGACAAACUGAAAGGGGCCCCUUGAGUGAAAUUUGGUAUUGUAAAUAGAAAUUGUAGUUUUAUAACCAAUUGUACUUAAAAAAAGGCUUAAAGG